rnacentral:rRNA from 1 species
UACAGAGGUCCCGAGCGUUUGUUCGGAUUCAUUGGGCGUAAAGGGUGCGUAGGCGGUUUGCUAAGUUUGAUGUGAAAGCCCGGGGCUCAACCCUGGAAUUGCAUUGAAUACUGGCGGACUAGAGUACUGGAGAGGAAACUGGAAUUUACGGUGUAGCAGUGAAAUGCGUAGAGAUCGUAAGGAAGACCAGUGGCGAAGGCGAGUUUCUGGACAGUUACUGACGCUGAGGCACGAAGGCCAGGGGAGCAAACGGG